rnacentral:rRNA from 1 species
UAUCUCUGUAGAGUCUGCAUAUCAAUAAGCGGAGGAAAAGAAACUAACUAGGAUUCCCUCAGUAACGGCGAGUGAAGCGGGAAGAGCUCAAAUUUGAAAUCUUCAAGGUUUUACCUUGACGAAUUGUGGUUUAAAGAAGUGUUUUCUGUUGGAGUUUUGGUAAAAGUUCUUUGGAAUAGGACAUCAUAGAGGGUGAGAAUCCCGUAUUUGACCAUUAUUUCCAGCUUUGUGAUACACUUUCAAAGAGUCGGAUCGUUUGGGAAUGCAGUCCAAAAUGGGUGGUAAAUUUCAUCUAAAGCUAAAUACUGGCGAGAGACCGAUAGCGAACAAGUACCGUGAGGGAAAGAUGAAAAGAACUUUGAAAAGAGAGUUAAACAGUACGUGAAAUUGUCAAAAGGGAAGCGUUUGACACCAGUGUUGUUUUCUCGAAAAUCAAUUAAAAAUGGCGGGAUUUUGUGUUGUAUUGACUUUAUCAGCUUUCUGCACUCUUUUCCUGUCUUUUUUAAUGCACUUUUCGUUUAACAAGUCAACAUCAAUUUCUUUUGUUGUAAAAGAGUCAUUGGAAGGUGGCUUUCUUUUCGGAGAAAGUGUUUAUAGCCUUUGGCUUCUGCAAUCGGAGAGAUUGAGGUCUGCAGCGUAGAUCCUUCGGGGUUAGAUACAUUUGUGCUAAGUUAUAGCCUUUCAUAGACAACUUGUUGACUAUGAUCAGUCAUGUAGCUUACUCGCUUAUGCUAUUUUACCUACGCUUAGGAUGUUGAGUCAUCACACAUCUCU